UCUUGACGAACGCUGGCGGCGUGCUUAACACAUGCAAGUCGAACGGAAAGGCCCUGCUUUUGUGGGGUGCUCGAGUGGCGAACGGGUGAGUAACACGUGAGUAACCUGCCCUUGACUUUGGGAUAACUUCAGGAAACUGGGGCUAAUACCGGAUAGGAGCUCCUGCUGCAUGGUGGGGGUUGGAAAGUUUCGGCGGUUGGGGAUGGACUCGCGGCUUAUCAGCUUGUUGGUGGGGUAGUGGCUUACCAAGGCUUUGACGGGUAGCCGGCCUGAGAGGGUGACCGGCCACAUUGGGACUGAGAUACGGCCCAGACUCCUACGGGAGGCAGCAGUGGGGAAUAUUGCACAAUGGGCGGAAGCCUGAUGCAGCAACGCCGCGUGCGGGAUGACGGCCUUCGGGUUGUAAACCGCUUUCGCCUGUGACGAAGCGUGAGUGACGGUAAUGGGUAAAGAAGCACCGGCUAACUACGUGCCAGCAGCCGCGGUGAUACGUAGGGUGCGAGCGUUGUCCGGAUUUAUUGGGCGUAAAGGGCUCGUAGGUGGUUGAUCGCGUCGGAAGUGUAAUCUUGGGGCUUAACCCUGAGCGUGCUUUCGAUACGGGUUGACUUGAGGAAGGUAGGGGAGAAUGGAAUUCCUGGUGGAGCGGUGGAAUGCGCAGAUAUCAGGAGGAACACCAGUGGCGAAGGCGGUUCUCUGGGCCUUUCCUGACGCUGAGGAGCGAAAGCGUGGGGAGCGAACAGGCUUAGAUACCCUGGUAGUCCACGCUGUAAACGGUGGGUACUAGGUGUGGGGUCCAUUCCACGGGUUCCGUGCCGUAGCUAACGCUUUAAGUACCCCGCCUGGGGAGUACGGCCGCAAGGCUAAAACUCAAAGGAAUUGACGGGGCCCCGCACAAGCGGCGGAGCAUGCGGAUUAAUUCGAUGCAACGCGUAGAACCUUACCUGGGUUUGACAUGGAUCGGGAGUGCUCAGAGAUGGGUGUGCCUCUUUUGGGGUCGGUUCACAGGUGGUGCAUGCCUGUCGUCAGCUCGUGUCGUGAGAUGUUGGGUUAAGUCCCGCAACGAGCGCAACCCUUGUUCACUGUUGCCAGCACGUUAUGGUGGGGACUCAGUGGAGACCGCCGGGGUCAACUCGGAGGAAGGUGGGGAUGACGUCAAGUCCUCAUGCCCCUUAUGUCCAGGGCUUCACGCAUGCUACAAUGGCUGGUACAGAGAGUGGCGAGCCUGUGAGGGUGAGCGAAUCUCGGAAAGCCGGUCUCAGUUCGGAUUGGGGUCUGCAACUCGACCUCAUGAAGUCGGAGUCGCUAGUAAUCGCAGAUCAGCAACGCUGCGGUGAAUACGUUCCCGGGGCUUGUACACACCGCCCGUCAAGUCAUGAAAGUUGGUAACACCCGAAGCCGGAGGCCUAACCGUUGUGGGGGAGCCGUCGAAGGU
rnacentral:rRNA from 1 species